GACGAACGCUGGCGGCGUGCUUAACACAUGCAAGUCGAACGGAAAGGCCCUGCUUUUGUGGGGUGCUCGAGUGGCGAACGGGUGAGUAACACGUGAGUAACCUGCCCUUGACUUUGGGAUAACUUCAGGAAACUGGGGCUAAUACCGGAUAGGAGCUCCUGCUGCAUGGUGGGGGUUGGAAAGUUUCGGCGGUUGGGGAUGGACUCGCGGCUUAUCAGCUUGUUGGUGGGGUAGUGGCUUACCAAGGCUUUGACGGGUAGCCGGCCUGAGAGGGUGACCGGAGAGAGAGGGAAGGAGAUGAGGGACGGAGUCAGAAGGGAGGGGGGAGGGGGGGGGAGGGAAGAAGGGGAGGGAGGAGUAUGCAGCAAAGCGGGGUGAGGGAGGAGGGGGAGAGGGUGGGGAAAAGAGAGCGCAGGUGAAGAAGAGUGAGGGAAGGGAAAGGGUAAAGAAGAACCGGAUAACUAAGUG
rnacentral:rRNA from 1 species